rnacentral:rRNA from 1 species
UGUCGAACAAGUGAUGUCGACACCGAUGACUUCCCGAUUAAGAUAGGACUGCAUCAGGGGUCAGCUUUGAGCCCUUAUCUUUUUGCAUUGGUGAUGGAUGAGGUCACAAGGGGUAUACAAGGAGAUAUCCCAUGGUGUAUGCUCUUUGCGGAUGAUGUGGUGCUAGUUGGCGAUAGUCGGAUGGGGGUAAAUAGGAAGUUAGAGUUAUGGAGACAAACCUUGGAAUCGAAAGGGUUUAGGCUUAGUAGAACUAAAACCGAGUACAUGAUGUGCGGUUUUAGUACUACUAGCUAUGAGGAGGAGGAGGUUAGCCUUGAUGGCCAGGUGGUACCUCGGAAGGACACCUUUCGGUAUUUGGGGUAA